UACGUAGGGUGCGAGCGUUGUCCGGAAUUAUUGGGCGUAAAGAGCUCGUAGGUGGCCUGUCGCGUCGGCUGUGAAAACUCGGGGCUCAACUCCGAGCUUGCAGUCGAUACGGGCAGGCUAGAGUUCGGCAGGGGAGACUGGAAUUCCUGGUGUAGCGGUGAAAUGCGCAGAUAUCAGGAGGAACACCGGUGGCGAAGGCGGUUCUCUGGGCAUUACCUGACGCUGAGGAGCGAAAGUGUGGGGAGCGAACAGG
rnacentral:rRNA from 1 species